rnacentral:rRNA from 1 species
AUGGCGGAUCCUCCUGCUCCCCACCGCGGAAUCCCGGACGAGAUCGCCAUCUGGGAGAUCCUCGUCCGCCUGCCCCCCAAAUCUCUCAUCCGCUGCCGCGCCGUCUGCCCCGCCUGGCGCCGCGCCACCUCCACCCGCGACUUCCUCCUCGACCACCACGCCCGCCCGCCAGCCCGCCCUCCCCCUUCUCUGCAGCUUAGAAGACGACGACGAGGACGACGCGUCUCUAUACAUCACCCCCUUCGACCGCCGGAGGCACGACUUGACGCCGCCUCCAACUUCUGUCCAAGACUAAGUGCCUCCUGUGAUGGCCUCCUCGUCCUCUCCUUCCGCAACAUGAUCUCAUAUGGCUGCCAAUUCUCCAUCUGCAACCCUGCCACUCGUCAGUAUGCUCCCCUCCCGCUGGAUUAUGGCCCUACUGUCGAGUACACAAUCUUGGGGAUCUACCCGCACAUCCCUACCGGCGAGUACCGACUAUUGCUUCACAGGGUCCAAAUGUUGAGGUCCGAUGGCUGUUAUGUCUUCUCGUUAGGCUCCGGCCAGCAGCUGAGGUACAUAGGCAGGCCCGAUGCGGGGAAACUGAUAGGCUCCCCCAUAUCUGCCUUGUUCCGUGGUAGCCUGCAUUGGCACUCACCAUCAACAGGCAGCAUGAUAAUGGUAUUCGACACCACAUCUGAGUUGUUCCGGCAGAUGCGCUCUCCGGUUGCCCCUGGCCAUGCUGACAUGUUUGAUCUUGGUGACAUGCUUGGGCUCUGCAGUCAUGACAGUGAAUGGACAAAAAUCGGGGUCCAUGAUAAGCUCGACAGCGAUUGGGAUGUGGUGGUCGGUUCUUGGGAUGGUGAUGUCGUCCUGCUGGUUACCAUUGAUGGCAGCAACAUGCUAUUUCAGGUUGACAUCAAUGGCAAGUUGGUUGCGACUAUCGCCUGUUGCAGAGACCUCUACUCAGCUCAUCUUUGGCUCAAACAAACUCUAGCUUUGCAUACGUUCUUUCCGACACUUGAGGGUUAUGCCGUGAAUGCUUCGCCAUUUAUCUGA